ACGGGUGAGUAACACGUGAGCAACCUGCCCCUGACUCUGGGAUAAGCGCUGGAAACGGCGUCUAAUACUGGAUACGAGUAGCGACCGCAUGGUCAGUUACUGGAAAGAUUUAUUGGUUGGGGAUGGGCUCGCGGCCUAUCAGCUUGUUGAUGAGGUAAUGGCUCACCAAGGCGUCGACGGGUAGCCGGCCUGAGAGGGUGACCGGCCACACUGGGACUGAGACACGGCCCAGACUCCUACGGGAGGCAGCAGUGGGGAAUAUUGCACAAUGGGCGCAAGCCUGAUGCAGCAACGCCGCGUGAGGGAUGACGGCCUUUGGGUUGUAAACCUCUUUUAGCUGGGAAGAAGCGAAAGUGACGGUACCUGCAGAAAAAGCGCCGGCUAACUACGUGCCAGCAGCCGCGGUAAUACGUAGGGCGCAAGCGUUAUCCGGAAUUAUUGGGCGUAAAGAGCUCGUAGGCGGUUUGUCGCGUCUGCUGUGAAAUCCGGAGGCUCAACCUCCGGCCUGCAGUGGGUACGGGCAGACUAGAGUGCGGUAGGGGAGAUUGGAAUUCCUGGUGUAGCGGUGGAAUGCGCAGA
rnacentral:rRNA from 1 species